rfam:Flavobacterium flevense strain DSM 1076 genome assembly, contig: Ga0131122_102
UUUUAUACAGGGAUUUCGGGUGAGGGAUAGCAGUGGAAAUCCUUUUAUGGAACGUAGUGAAAUAAAAGAUUGCAACGAAUAGCCCGACCUCAU